GGAUGGGUGGCAGAGCGGUCGAAUGCGGCGGUCUUGAAAACCGUUAUAGGGGCAACUCUAUCGGGGGUUCGAAUCCCUCCCCAUCCGCCA
rnacentral:tRNA from 1 species